GACGUCAUAACAUUAGAAGUGAAUCGUGUCAGGAUAGAAAUAUAGCAGCACUAAGCAAUAUCUUUUGUGUAUGGCGUCUUUUU
rnacentral:SRP_RNA from 1 species